CAGUAGCCGCGGUAAUACGAAGGGGGCUAGCGUUGUUCGGAUUUACUGGGCGUAAAGGGCGCGUAGGCGGACUGAUAAGUCAGGGGUGAAAUCCCAAGGCUCAACCUUGGAACUGCCUUUGAUACUGUUUGUCUUGAGUUCGAGAGAGGUAUGUGGAACUGCGAGUGUAGAGGUGAAAUUCGUAGAUAUUCGCAAGAACACCAGUGGCGAAGGCGGCUUACUGGCUCGAAACUGACGCUGAGGCGCGAAAGCGUGGGGAGCAAACAGGAUUAGAUACCCCAGUAGUCCCUGUCUCUUAUAC
rnacentral:rRNA from 1 species